CCAUAGCAAACGGAGUGGCCAGGCCGGGAAGGUGGCUUGGAGGAGUUGACUUUGACCAGGGAUUUAUAAAGGUCUGUUAUUUGGCGGCUCACAAUGGUGUGUAAAAAUACUAAGUGAGAGUCAGCAGCUUUGCCUGGUUGGAGCAAUUUAACAACACCUGCCUGAAGCCUGCUGUGUUUUCUUUAGAAGAACAGCCUGAGUCAACAGUGCUUAUGGAUUCCUUGAUGGAUGCAGAGGGAGUAUUAAGUUAGCCAGAUUUAUUGGAACAUGUCUAAAAGACCACUAGCUCUGUACCAGCGUUUCCUCUGAAGUUUCAGUCUCUGUCCUCUCUUCCCUUCCCCACUGCCUGGUAGCUCUGAUGUUGCAUUUCUGCCCUUGCUUCUCUUGUUUAAGAUUCCUUCUUCGAGGGCCCAGCCAGCCUCCUCAGUCCUGGGGCUGUGUGGUAGAUAGUCCUCUGGAAGGCAUUCACCACCUUGUCAUAGGGCCGUGUGGUUGGUGGAGGGGGCAGAAAUAAGGAGACUAGUGUUUCAGAGGCUCUUAUGGCACACAUGGGAACAGGUAGACUGUAUUUUGGCAUUGAGAGUAUCUGGGUGUAUUAGUCUGCUCAGGCUGCUAUAAUAAAAUGCUACAGAUGGGUGACUUAAACAACAGGUAUUUAUUUCUUACAGUUCUGGAGACUGGGAAGUCCAGGAUCAAGGUGCUGGCUAAUUCUGUUCCUGGUUAGGGCUCUCUUCCUGGCUUGCAGAUGGCCAUCUUCUCACUAUGUCCUCCUGUGGUAGAGACAGCAUCUUCUUUCUUCCUUUUUGCUAUGUCCUCUUCCAAUGAAGAUGCUAAUCCCAUCAUGAGGGCACCAUCCUUUCAGCCCAUUUAACCCUCAGGCCCAGUCUCCAGAUACUGUCACAUUGGAGGUUAGGGCUUCAGCAUAUGAAUUUGCAGGUGUAUUAGUCCGUUCUCAUGCUGCUGAUAAAGACAUACCCAGGACUGGGUAAUUUAUAAAGGAAAGAGGUUUAAUUGACUCACAGUUCCACGUGGCUGGGGAGGCCUCACAAUCUUGGUGGAAGGUGAAAGGCACAUCUUACAUGGUGGCAAGCAAGAGAGAGCUUGUGCAAGGGAACUUCUCUUUAUAAAACCAUCAGAUCUUGUGAGACUUAUUCACUAUCACGAGAACGAUACAGGAAAGACCCACCCCCAUGAUUCAAUGACUUCCCACUGCGUCCCUCCCAUGACACAUGGGAACUGCGGGAGCUAAAUUCAAGAUGAGAUUUGGGUGGGGACACAGCCAAAUCACAUCAGCAGGGAACACAAUUCAACCCCAUAGCACUGGGGGUUCACUAGAGUUUCAUAAGGUUCCCAAGGACUCAUGGCGGUGACCAGAGCAGUGUGUUUUCUACUGAAAGAAACCUGUGGGAGUUGAAAACCUACAGACUGAAGGUUCUUAAGCUGAGUUUAUGGCCUCAAGAGGGUCUGGGAACUUCUGGAAAUGCUCUUUAGGGCAUUGUAUGUGCAGUGCAUAUGUGUGUCUUUCAUCACAUUUUCAAAAGGUUUGCUGACCUAACAGUGGUAAAAGCUAAUGUCCCAGAGACUGUACCUCUAAAGUAGAAGCUGAGAAGGAACAGGUCUGUGCACACUGGUGUCCACCACCAGCAUACCCCCCACCUCAUUGUGCAGCCCCAUCCCCCUGGAGCAUUCCAGAGAAGCUCUGCUCCCUCUUGCUGCUGGGCACUAAUUAGACCCUGACUGCUGGCAGGUGAGCUUACUGCCCAAGAACUAAAGAGAGAGAGCUCUUCCCCCAAAAGCUGCCCUGUGCCUCUGUACUCGAAACCUAACCCUUUGUUGACUUCUUUUACUUUUUAUUUUUGGAGCAAACUCUAUUUUUGGAGAAUACAUGAAACGAGUGGCUGUCUUACAUCAUAAACCAGAAAAACCACUGUGCUUAUUAAAGGCAUUUCGGAGUAUUCUCAAGAUUCGGACUCAAAGCAGACAAUAGUAGAAGCUGGCUUUUCUGCCUCUAAAUGGAGGGCUCUGGCCCCCACAUUCAUUCAUCCCUCCUUGAGCUAAACCACUGCCUGCCUGGCUAACUGAUCUCAAGAGCAAGGCUGGGACUCAUGGGUAUAUAUUUUUGGUCUGUGACUUUUUUCCUAGUUAAUUUCUGUGGGGUCUGGACUGUUUUCUAGCCCCAUACUUAUUAUUUUUUCUUGUUCUCUACUUCCUGGUUCUCCCACAUGACUAAUCCUUCUCUACACCCAUGUUGAAUUUUAUUUGACCUCAUUUGAUAUGUUUUCUCUAAGUCACUUCAGUCCUUUUUAAAACUUGGUAAACAUGAAUCCAUUUUAAAAGCACAGGCCCUCAUAGAAUCUGGGUUUAUCCUCAGGCUAGGUCACUGCUACCCCUGACCAGUCCCCAAAGAAUGCUGGAGGCCUUUGCCAUGCUCCACCUUCCUAUUCUCCACCCAGGCUCCCUUUUCCUCCUCUCCUUUCUCUCCUUCUCUUUCCCUUUUUGUCUCCUUUGCUCUCCUCUUUCUUUCAUUCACGCAGGCCUUCCCCUCCUCCUCUGGGCUUUAACUCUGCCGGUUUUCCUAGAGCUUUGCUCAGUCCUGACAGGUGUGAGGACCUGAACUCAGGGCUUGGGAUCUUAUCUCAGGUUCUCCUGCUUUAUUGCAAGGACUCGGGGUCCUCAGCAGAUCUUGGCAUUCUGGA
rnacentral:lncRNA from 10 species